UAACACGGUAACACCCAAUCCGUCCAACACGAAAGACAAAAAAUCCGGAAACCUUAAAAUCAUCAAAACUGAUAGAAACGAAGGUCGACGUCGAAUUUCCGAUCAUCCUCCUUUUGGCGUAGCUUCCGAUCUUCAAUUUCGUUGGGUUCCCUCCAAAUUUUUGUAAUUUUGGUGAAUUGGGUUGUGGGUCAGCGGGCGGAGACAGACGGACAGGAUGGGAGGGGUGGCGAGGAGCUGCGUCCAAUCAAUGCUCAAGUUGGUGAAUUGUAUGAUUGGGAUGGUAGGGCUGGCCAUGAUUAUGUACUCGUUGUGGUUGAUUAGCGCGUGGCAGAGGAACAUGCCUCACUUCCCCCCACCACUCGACCACUCUCACCACCAUCCUACACCUUGGUUCAUAUACACUUUUCUUGGCAUUGGGAUCACUCUGCUUGUGAUCACAUGCUCAGGUCAUAUCGCCGCUGACACUGCAAAUGGUUGUUGCCUUUAUUUGUACAUGGUGUUUAUAUUCUUACUCUUCAUGCUUGAAGCCGGAGUGACUGCUGACAUAUUUUUAAACCGUGACUGGGAAGAGGACUUUCCAGAUGAUCCAACUGGGAGAUUUGAUCAAUUCAAAGAAUUUGUAAGGUCGAACUUUGAUAUCUGCAAAUGGAUUGGCUUGUCAAUAGUUUGUGUACAGGGGCUGUCUUUGUUAUUGGCAAUGAUACUCAAAGCUCUUGGGCCACAUCCGUAUUAUGAUAGUGAUGAUGAGUAUAUUCCUGAGAGGGUUACACUCCUAAACAAUGCUGUUCUUCCACCUCCUUAUGUCGUUGGUGACCCUGUAUAUGGUUCCAAAAGUGAUUCAUGGAACAUAAGGAUCAAUGACAAGACAAACAGGUAAAUUGAUUGCUCAGCUGGGCUUCUACUUGUGGAUGGAUGGUAGUGUGGAGACACAAUAAGAGUGGAGGAACUGGAUCGGAAAAAUGAGUCAUCUGAUGUCGAUUGACCAAUUGAGCAUUGAAGGUUUCAUAAACUCGAGCAGAUGAAGAGGGUGGAAUUAGUCACACAUCCCCAAUUUCAGGAUUAGAAGUUGUUUCUUUUCAGUUUCUUACAGGAACAUGGGGGGUUUUGGCAGUUGGAUUUGCAACUUCCUAUGCAUGAUUUCUCUGCUCGUUGCUUAAUUUAUCAAUUUGCAUUACUCUGUGGGAAGCAUCAUUAUUAAUAUUAUAGAUGAAUGGAAGACCUCUUAAUUUUGUUUAA